AUGGCGGCACGGCAUCAAUCUACGAGCAAAGAUGGAUGUACGUACUGCUUGCUGCGGCUAUUGCAGACUUGCAGUAGCGACAACAGGCAGCAACAGUACACAAGAAGUGGCAGCGGCCACAGCUGGGCGAGGACCACCGGACAUAGGCGUCAUUGCAAUCUGGAAGGCGGUUCUCGUUGCAUCACGUGGUCAGGGCAAUGCACCACUCGCCGGCAAGAUGGAGCGAUUCGGGAUGCAUCGCUUGCCGGUAAGAUCAAGUGGGAGGCCUCGUCGCCGCUCUCCCGAUGGGAUUCGGUCUGGUGCACGCAUGCAGUAGUGUUGCCCCCGAGCGGCACACCGGUGGCUUCAGGCAUAGUAGCCGUUUGGGCCGCACACGCGUCUAUGGUGUCGGUGGUGUCAGCUCUCCUCCGUAAUGCGUGUUGUAGCUGUACCGGCAACAUACCUGACAGAGUCUAG
rnacentral:rRNA from 1 species